rnacentral:misc_RNA from 1 species
GGAAGUAAAAAUCGUAACAAGGUUUCCGUAGGUGAACCUGCGGAAGGAUCAUUAAUGAGUUGUCAUGGGGUUCGAUGCUGGCAGCCAGUUUUUGGAUGCAUGUGCUUGCCCUAACAAUCAUCUUCUUCCAAACACCUGUGCACAUUUUUGAGGGAGUCUUAAGUUGGUUGCCGCUCUUGGGUGAUUUUCUCACAUUCCCUUAAAUCAUUAUACGCUAUUAACAAUGUUGGACGUGCUCUGUGCCGCAAGGCCAUUAAUAUAUUACAACUUUUAACAACGGAUCUCUUGGCUCUC